GGCUUGAUGGCGUAGUUGGUUAUCGCAUCUGUCUAACACACGAUAAAUGUGACUCACACAGAAGGUCCCCAGUUCGAGCCUGGGUCAAGUCA